GAUGAACGCUGGCGGCGUGCUUAACACAUGCAAGUCGAGCGAGAAGUUUUGAACAGAUUCUUCGGAUGAAAUUUAAAAUGGAAAGCGGCGGACGGGUGAGUAACGCGUAGGCAACCUGCCCCAUACAAAGGGAUAGCAUUUGGAAACGAAUAUUAAUACCUUAUGAAACUUAACUAGUGCAUGCUAGGUAGGUCAAAGAUUUAUCGGUAUGGGAUGGGCCUGCGUCUGAUUAGCUAGUUGGUGAGGUAACGGCUCACCAAGGCGACGAUCAGUAGCCGACCUGAGAGGGUGAACGGCCACAUUGGAACUGAGACACGGUCCAAACUCCUACGGGAGGCAGCAGUGGGGAAUAUUGCACAAUGGGGGAAACCCUGAUGCAGCAACGCCGCGUGAACGAUGAAGGCCUUUGGGUCGUAAAGUUCUGUUCUAGGUGAUGAAAACUGACAGUAACCUAGGAGAAAGCCCCGGCUAACUCCGU
rnacentral:rRNA from 1 species